UACGAAGGGGGGCUAGCGUUGCUCGGAAUCACUGGGCGUAAAGGGCGCGUAGGCGGAUAGUACAGUCAGGCGUGAAAUUCCUGGGCUCAACCUGGGGGGCUGCGUUUGAUACGUAUUGUCUGGAGUUCGGAAGAGGGUCGUGGAAUUCCCAGUGUAGAGGUGAAAUUCGUAGAUAUUGGGAAGAACACCGGUGGCGAAGGCGGCGACCUGGUCCGAUACUGACGCUGAGGCGCGAAAGCGUGGGGAGCAAACAGG
rnacentral:rRNA from 1 species